CUAAGAUAUCCGGUGGGCGACGCUAGAUAUAUCGAGAAGUUUUCCUGAAAUUUCAGUUUGUGUUAGUUUAGAUUGAAAGCGAGAAUGGCAGUGAAGAAGUGUUACUGCGAGAAGCAAUUCCAAGACACACCAGCGGAUCGGAAACGGCACGUUCAGGGUAUUCAACAGCAGCAGGCCAAAGCUCGCUGGGAUUUUGCCGUUACGGCGACUCUUGCAAAUAUCUCCAUCCCAUUCCCAACAACAAUCUACAGCAGCCCCCAGUCCUAACCACACCGUCACCGUCACCGCCACCAGGGAAUGUGGUAGGAGUUUCAUUGGACAAUCUUCCCCCCUUGCUUCAGCCUCCACCUGAAGGUGUAUAUCCCCACCUUCCCUUCUCGACUGGGGAUAAAUUUAUUAUUAAUCAUUCAUCAAGUUAACGAGAAAAAGUAAGAACCAAGAUUAAGCAAUGGAUCAAGAAAGCUUCCUGUAACAAAGAAUUUACAAAACGUGAAGAUAAAAAAAAGAGCCUAGGAGCAAGACUACACAAGUUAGACACACCUUCAUCUUAAAGAUUUUGGUACUUCAGAACCCUCGAUCAAAGGAGAAAGAAAGAUUGUGAAAAUAGUAACAAAUAUAAUGAGUUGCAUGGUUCAACUGAUAGCAUAAAGAAAGUUGUGAUUCUAGGAGAUAUUUCACAGAUCUUGAUUCGUUGGUUGUUUAUGAGAAAGAAUUAUGUUUAGAUUUUUUUAGUAAUAUUUCAGCCUUUCCAGAAACCUCUAUCGAAGGGAGAAAGAAAGACCAGGUCCAUAUCUUUGGUGGACCAGUGAUUUUGGUGGUUCAUUUUAGACCAUGUUGUGUUAGCUGUUAGAUAUGACAGUCUGAUAUUGAACGGUCAGUAAUUGUUGACUGGAACUGGUUGUUGUGGGUGAAAGUAAUUGUAUUUUAUGUUUUUUUUAUAUUAGUUGGUUGUAUUUGACCUUUUUACCCUUUAUAUAUUUUUGUCAUUUUGCUGAUAGUCUUUACGGCUCAUUCGACGACAGGCUUUCUCUUUUACCGGCGUGUUAGUUAUAUAUUUAGUUUUGUUUUUAUCAUGCAUUUUCGACCAUAAAUGAUGAAGAUGAUCGGGUUUUUACCUUGCGUUUUGAUUUCUUGGUUUUUGUUUUAAAGCAUUUGUUUUCUAUUGGACAAGGAAUUGUUUCACCAUGGAUUUCACGAUUUGAGUGGUUUAAGCAGAUGUUUGGAGUAGUUUUGGGGAUGAGAGGCAUUGUAAAGGAGCUAACGAGAAUAAGCAUGGAUUGGUUGUGAUUUAGUUGAAUGGAAGCUACAUUAAGAGUUUUGGUACAUCAACAACAAAGGAAGAAUUUGAGUUGAUGAAGCAGCCCCCUUGCACAUGCUUAAUACGUUAGAGUUAGCUUGGAAGGUCCCAUGGUAAGUAUCUAGAGGUUGCUGGGAGAAAUUUGAAGUUUGGUGUGUGCUGAGCUAAUUGUUCUCACUACCAUUGAUUUGGGUUAAGUGCACACCUCAAGCUUAGCGCACAGUCACUUAAUCAAGUGUUGUUUUUGUAUGCGCGUUUAGCGCAGAAGUUGGGCUUAGCGCGUAAGCCAUUUUGAAAAAACGACAAUACAAUCCUUAUGGACCUAUUUAAACCUUUUUUUUCAUGGGGAUGGAGGUAACAUCGAUCAAGAGUUGUGUGUGGCAAUUGAGGAGCUCCCAUCUUUCAUUUCUCUUCAUCUUCUCCCUUCCAUUUUGUAAUUUUGAGGUCUCUCAUGACAAUGAGAGUUUAGUUCAUCCAUUGUUGGGAACAUUGGUGUGUUAAGUCACUUUCAUGUAAUUAAUCUUUAUAUUUAUUCAGUGUUAUUUCUUAAGUUA